rnacentral:piRNA from 1 species
UAAUCCAACUACUUGGGAGGGUGAGGC